rnacentral:rRNA from 1 species
ACUGGAAGGUGCGGCUGGAUCACCUCCUUU